UACGAAGGGGGCUAGCGUUGCUCGGAAUUACUGGGCGUAAAGGGCGCGUAGGCGGGUCGUUAAGUUAGAGGUGAAAGCCCAGGGCUCAACCCUGGAAUUGCCUUUGAUACUGGCGGCCUUGAGUAUGGCAGAGGUGUGUGGAACUCCGAGUGUAGAGGUGAAAUUCGUAGAUAUUCGGAAGAACACCAGUGGCGAAGGCGACACACUGGGCCAUUACUGACGCUGAGGCGCGAAAGCGUGGGGAGCGAACAGG
rnacentral:rRNA from 1 species